rnacentral:rRNA from 1 species
GAUAAAUCAUUCAAGUUUCUGCCCUAUCAGCUUUGGAUGGUAGUGUAUUGGACUACCAUGGCAGUCACGGGUAACGGAGAAUUAGGGUUCGAUUCCGGAGAGGGAGCCUGAGAAACGGCUACCACAUCUACGGAAGGCAGCAGGAGCGAAAAUUGCCCAAUCCCGACACGGGGAGGCAGUGACGAGAAAUAACAACUCUUGGUUAUUCUAAGAAGUGUAAUGAGGAUAAUUUAAAACCCUUACCGAAAGCAAUUGGAGGGCAAGUCUGGUGCCAGCAGCCGCGGUAAUUCCAGCUCCAAUAGCGUAUAUUAAAGUUGUUGCAGUUAAAAAGCUCGUAGUUGAAGUUCUGGCUGCUUGACCCUCGAGCUCUGUAGCCGAGGGCUCAGCAGUCAUCCGCUUGCAAAUAUAUGUUCGCCUUUAACCGGGCGGCUAUAUGAGUAAGCAUUUUACCUUGGGAAAAACAGAGUGUUCCAGGCAGGUUUGUCCGGAAUGCAUUAGCAUGGAAUAAUAGAAUAUGACUGAAGUCGAUUUAUUGGUUUGAGGCUUUAGUAAUGAUUAAUAGGAACAGUCGGGGGCAUUGGUACUUGUCAGUCAGAGGUGAAAUUCUAGGAUUUGACAAAGACUAACAAAUGCGAAAGCAUUUGCCAAGGAUGUUUUCAUUAAUCAAGAACGAAAGUUAGGGGAUCAAAGACGAUCAGAUACCGUCCUAGUCUUAACUAUAAACUAUACCGACUCGGAUUCAGAUGAAUCAUAAAGUUCAUUUGGGACCGUAGGAGAAAUCAAAGUUUUUGGGUUCUGGGGGAAGUAUGGUCGCAAGGCUGAAACUUAAAGGAAUUGACGGUUUUGCACCACCAUGGAGUGGAGUCUGCGGCUUAAUUUGACCCAACACUGGGAAACUCAUCAGGGCAAGAAGAUUGUAGGAUUGACAGAUUGAGAGUUCUUUCUUGAUUGGUCUAGUGGUGGUGCAUGGCCGUUCUUAGUUGGUGGAGUGAUUUGUCUGGUUAAUUCCGUUAACGAACGAGACCUUAACCUGCUAACUAGUACACCGAUGACAAAUCGGUGAUACUUCUUAGAGGGACUAUGUGAUGUAAUCACAUGGAAGUUUGAGGCAAUAACAGGUCUGUGAUGCCCUUAGAUGUCCUGAGCUGCACGCGUACUACAAUGGUGCUUUCAUCGAGCUUUUCCUGAUCCGAAAGGAUUUGGGUAAUCUUUUUAGUGAGCACCGUGCUUGGGAUAGAUCUUUGUAAUUAUGGAUCUUGAACUAGGAAUUCCUAGUAAGCACGUGUCAUCAGCACGU